rnacentral:lncRNA from 1 species
GUGAAGCUGACUCUCUGCUGAGCAGGAAGCCUGACUCAAGACUCCAUUCCAGGAACUUGGGAUCAUGACCCGAGCUCAAGGCAGAUGCUUAACUGACUGAGCUACCCAAGUGCCCCUAGAGGUGUUGUUGUUAGGAUUCAACGAAAAUAAUAAUUGCUCAAUCUAAGUAAUGAAUCUAAAAGAAUGAAAAGGUCGCAUAUACAAAGGUGUUUAUUUUGUAAUCACUUAUAAUUUAAAACUUUGAAAGUCACUUCAGUGUCUGUCAGUAAGAGAUCCAUGAGGCAUAUUACCGAAUAGCCGUUUGGUGAAAUGUUUUGCAGCUAUUAAAUGAACACUUGUGAAGAUCCUGCAGCAAAAUAGAAUGAACAGAAGUUCCAAAUAGCAUAAAUUAAAAACAUAAAAAACCCCAAAUUUAUUAAUAGCAUGAUUAAAACAUAAAAUGGAAGUAUGAAAGAAAUAAGGAAGAGGAUCCCGACUGUGGGAAUGGGUUGUCGAGUUUUACAUCUUUUCUCUUGUUAAGUUUUUCUAUUCUGUUAUGAUAUUGCUUUUAUAAUUAAAAUGCAGUAGCUUUAUUAAUUACCCUUAGUUUUCCUAUUUAUGAAAGAAUCGUUACUUUAAAAAACCGAGCUAAUUCAGAAAACCAUGAAUAAUAAAAUGAAAAUUACCCUUAAUCCUGCCGUGUGUAUUUUAAUUUGCACUGCUGUAGUUUUUUCAAAAUUAGCCUUGCUUGGCUUCUGGUUUACCCCUUGGCCUGCUUCUCAGGCGGUGGCUUUUGCAUCUCCUCCUUGUCUUUGAUCUUUCCAGAUGAGCCUCUUCUCCCUCUUCCAGGAGCCGUGCAUGCCUGCUUUAUUGAGAACACCAGGAAGCCCUUUUUUUGAAAUGUUCUUGUGUCUCCUGUCAAAAAUGAUUUUGAGAGGUGAACUGUGGCCGCACAACUUCCAGGAACAUGCACAGCUCUAGCACCUUGUCCUGUGUUUUGCACUGUGUCACUCAGCACUGUCUCCGAAUAAGAUUGGGAGUCCCUUUUA